rnacentral:RNase_P_RNA from 1 species
AGAGAGAGCUAAGGGAACGCUGGCGAUCGAAAGAUUGCCGGAGGAAAGUCCGGACUCCAAAGGGUAGGCUACUGAGGAAAUCUCAGCGGGGGCGACCUCGGGAAAGUGCAACAGAGAGCAGACCGCCGAUGGCGGAUCCGCGAAGUCUACGGACUUCGUUCGGUCCGAUCAGGCAAGGCUGAAACGGUGGUGUAAGAGACCACCAGCGCCUCAGGUGACUGGGGCGGCUUGGUAAACCCUAGCCGGAGCAAGGCCAAAUAGGAAGGCGUUUGAAGGCGACCCGCCUGAUGCCUUCGGGUAGGCUGCAUAGACAGAUGUUCCCUCACGACAGAAUCCGGCUUACCGGCUCUCUCGCCCA